CACAAGUUUGACAGGGGAAGUUCCCAUAGAUGGGUUGUCUUCACUAAAGAUCCUUGUAUUAAGUCACACAAACAUUUAUGGCUUCUCUGACAAAUUCGAUGAGCUUUCUCGUCUAGAAAAACUGGACUUACGUGGCUGCAGGAUGCUUCAAUCGCUGCCAAAAAGCAUGAGUAAGCUGCGUUCUCUACAACACCUUCGGUUAAUUGAUUGCCACAGACUUCUGUCACUGCCAGAGCUUCCUGGCUAUUUAACGAUUCUAGAAGUCACCUGUCAGCAUCGCACAUUGCCUCAACUUUCUCACCUAAUCCAUCUAAGAAAGCUCAUAGUUUCCAAAUGCAAAUUGUUGGAAUCCAUGCCGGAUCUUCCCUCAGCAAUAUUGAAGCUUUCUAUUUGCAGCUGUGAUGAGUUGAAAGAGUUGCCAAGUUUGUCAAGUUUAGAAUUGUUGUCCCAAUUAGAGAUCCAAAAUUGCUGUGAGCUGACGAAGAUCAAGGGUCUGGAAGCAUUAAAAUCCUUAAGACAUUUGAGUGUAUCAGGAAGUAAGAAGUUAUCCAAAUUUGACGGCCUUGAACAUGCAGAGUCCUUGAGAUACUUGGAUAUGAGUUCUUCCUCAGUGAAUGAAGAUCUAGUUCAAGGUCUUGGCAGAUUGAAAAACUUAGAAGAACUGGAUAUAAGUGGCUGUGAGUACCUUAUAAGACCAAAACUUUCGCAAUUAGUGUAUCUGAAGCGAUUACAUGUUCAAUACUGCCACCACCUAGUUAAAAUUGAAGGUCUUGAGAGGUUGGAAAAAUUGGAAUGGCUGGAUAUCCAGGGUUGCACAUCCAUUGAAACAUUACCAAGCCUCUCGUGCUUCGAUAACCUGAAAUAUUUGCGCAUUUUGCAUUGUUCGAAGCUUCGUGAGGUUGAGGGCCGAGAGAAAGUCCAACGUGUGUACAAAUGAGGGAUUCAACGGCAAGGCUCUCAACAAAUAGUCCACAUCUGUCAAAUUUUGAGAUCUAAUGGAACGAUGGGGUUGAAUCUCGCAUGAACUCGUGGAGAUCACAGAGCUUCAGGACUCCACGGCGUCUAUACUCUAAAAGACGUUCAGCGAUGCAACCUAGCGGAAUCUCAUAUGUUCAUUGCACCGCUGCGGCAGAGAAGCAAGUGGUCGAUGAAAAUAAUGCUUCGACGAGUCGAGCACUUCGGCUAUGAUGUCGGAACGAUUCGCAUUUCCUUUCGAAGUUAGAUAAAAGCAGGUCGCACUAUUCUUCGUCAAGAUGUAUUGCCAAUUUCAUCAGCAUUUCCUAAAUUGGUUUGAGUUGGUUGGUGUUGACCAAAUAGUUGAGCGGCUGCCGGCCAGCAACUUCCGUGCACAGAUGGAGAUUCAUUCUUCGUACCUGGUCCGUCUCACAAUCCUUCGCGGGUUGGUGAAGUCACGGUUGGAAAUAUACAAGCAAAAUGCUCAGGCUAUAUUAUCGACUUACUUGAGCGUAAUGAAUAAGAUUGAUGGAAAUCACCCCAGAGAUGUGGCUUUCAGUGAAGUAGACUCACUGCUGUAAAGGGUGCAAAAAGAUAAAGCAAAAACAACAAAACUAGGGAACCUUGUAUUUGGGAUCUCACUGCCAUCAGAUGAGG